UACGUAGGGGGCAAGCGUUGUCCGGAUUUACUGGGCGUAAAGAGCGUGUAGGCGGCCACGCAGGUCCGUUGUGAAAACUGGAGGCUCAACUUCCAGACGUCGACGGAAACCGCGUGGCUAGAGUCCGGAAGAGGAGAGUGGAAUUCCUGGUGUAGCGGUGAAAUGCGUAGAGAUCGGAAAGAACACCAACGGCGAAAGCACUCUGCUGGGCCGACACUGACACUGAGAGACGAAAGCUAGGGGAGCGAAUGGG
rnacentral:rRNA from 1 species